GACGAACGCUGGCGGCGUGCUUAACACAUGCAAGUCGAGCGAUGAAGCACCUUCGGGUGUGAAUUAGCGGCGAACGGGUGAGGAACACGUGAAGAAUCUGCCUUCAACUCUGGGAUAACUCCGGGAAACCGGGGCUAAUACCGGAUAUGAGCCUUGAUCGCAUGAUCGGGGCUGGAAAGUUUUUCGGUUGAAGAUGACUUCGCGGCCUAUCAGCUUGUUGGUGAGGUAAUGGCUCACCAAGGCGACGACGGGUAGCCGGCCUGAGAGGGCGACCGGCCACACUGGGACUGAGACACGGCCCAGACUCCUACGGGAGGCAGCAGUGGGGAAUAUUGGGCAAUGGAGGAAACUCUGACCCAGCGACGCCGCGUGAGGGAUGAAGGCCUUCGGGUUGUAAACCUCUUUCAGUAGGGAAGAAGCGAAAGUGACGGUACCUACAGAAGAAGCACCGGCUAACUAUGUGCCAGCCGCCGCCGUAA
rnacentral:rRNA from 1 species